GAAUUUCCCCCUUUGCGUUGCGGAUAUUGGGUGAAGACUUUGUAAUUCCGGGGAGGUCUAUAGGCAUCUUUUGGGAACAAAACGGACAUUCGGCGCAAAGGAUGAUCUCGGGGCUAUCAGGUAGUUGGUGGGGUAACGACUUACCAGGCUACGACGAGUAGCUGGUCUGAGAGGAUGUCAGCCACAUUGGAACUGAGAUACUGUCCAGACUCUACGGGAGGCUGCAGUCGAGAAUCUGGGCAAUGCACGAAAGCGUGACCCAGCGACGCCGCGUGAAGGAUGAAGGCCCUCCGGGUCGUAAACUUCUUUUAUAGGGGAAGAACACAAUGACGGUACCCCAUGAAUAAGCCACGGCUAACUACGUGCCAGCAGCCGCGGUAAUACGUAGGUGGCAAGCGUUGUCCGGAUUUACUGGGCGUAAAGGGCAAGCAGGCGGAUUGUUAAGUAGAAAGUGAAAGGUCGGGGCUCAACCCCAACAUUGCUUUCUAUACUGGCAGUCUUGAGUCCCGGAGGGGAGAGCGGAACGACACGUGUAGCGGUGAAAUGCGUUGAUAUGUGUCGGAACACCAAUGGCGAAGGCAGCUCUCUGGACGGGUACUGACGCUCAUUUGCGAAAGCCGAGGUAGCGAACAGGAUUAGAUACCCUGGUAGUCUCGGCCCUAAACGAUGAUCACUAGGUGUCGGGGGGUUUCCCUCGGUGCCGCAGCUAACGCAUUAAGUGAUCCGCCUGGGGACUACGGCCGCAAGGUUGAAACUCAAAGGAAUUGGCGGGGGCCCGCACAAGCGGUGGAGCAUAUGGCUUAAUUCGAUGCAACGCGAAGAACCUUACCCAGGCUUGACAUGUACCUGCAAGCGCUCCAAAAGGCGCCGCUUUCGAAGGUGGUACACAGGUGGUGCAUGGCUGUCGUCAGCUCGUGUUGUGAAAUGUUGGGUUAAGUCCCGCAACGAGCGCAACCCUCAUGUUAUGUUGCCAGCGAGUAAUGUCGGGAACUCGUAACAAACUGCCUAUGUAAAUAGGAGGAAGGUGGGGAUGACGUCAAGUCAUCAUGCCCCUUACGCCUGGGGCUGCACAUAUGCUACAAUGGAUGCUACAAACAGUUGCGAUCCCGCGAGGGUAAGCUAAUCUGAAAAAAGCAUUCUCAGUUCGGAUGUGGAGUCUGCAACUCGACUCCAUGAAGCCGGAAUCGGCACUCAUCCGCAGGUCAGCAUACUGCGUUCGUAAACAAAAAAAAUAACGGGG
rnacentral:rRNA from 1 species